rnacentral:rRNA from 1 species
UACGUAGGGGGCAAGCGUUGUCCGGAAUCAUUGGGCGUAAAGCGCGUGUAGGCGGCUAGGUAAGUCUGCUCUGAAAGCCCGGGGCUCAACCCCGGGAGGCGGGUGGAUACUGUCUAGCUCGAGUCCGGAAGAGGAGUGUGGAAUUCCCGGUGUAGCGGUGAAAUGCGCAGAUAUCAGGAGGAACACCAAUGGCGAAGGCAGCACUCUGGGACGUGACUGACGCUGAGACGCGAAAGCGUGGGGAGCAAACAGG